GCAGGUGUCUGCAGUUCCACCCAGAAGCAGCCCAUGGUCUAAUCUCUUUCUUCUUUGUAUUUGUUACAGGUCUAAUGAAAGGCUAUGAUGUGGAGUAGGCUGUGGCUGGUGGCUAGGGUACUGUGGUUGCAGAUAUUGAGACUGCAGAUUGGAAACAUAUCCUUUUAUAUUUCCAAGUAAAAUUAAACUUCCUCAAAUAUACCUGUCAAUUAUCAAGAGUUUUCUUUGCUUCAGAGGAGCUCUUUUGAGGAGAGAGAUCAAGUCACGUGGAAAUUUUCUUCCCUCUCUAUAACUGUAAGCUGCCAGUAACCCUUCAGAGCUCUGGGUCUCAGUGAAUCAUCAAUUGAGAGGUAGGUAAGCUUACUUCUGGAACAUCAUUAAGGUACAUUAAUUUCAUUUGAAAUAUUUAUCAGAAAUUUAAAUCUCUUAUAUUCUUUAAUUUUCAUAUCCUGUAAUUUGUAAAUCAUUCAAUUUAUUGAAAGUCUAUAAUGAACAGGUGAUAAGAGCAUGGUUUAUACCCACUUGAGGUUUAAUCUAAAUAGGGGAGCUGCCAUAGACUGAACAUUUGUGUGCCUCUCAGAUUCAUAGGUUGAAAUCUUAAUCCCCAUUAUGAUGAUAUUUGAAAGUCGAAACUUUGGGAUGCAAUUAGGUCGUGAGGAUGGAGUCCUCACAAUGGGAGUAGUUCCCUUAUAAGAAGAGACACAAAAGAGCUCCUUCUCUCUCUUUCUCUUUUAUGUGUGAGGAUACAACGAGAAAGUGGUCAUCCACAAGCCGGGAAGUGGGUUCUCACCAGACACCAAAUCUUCUAGUGCCUUGAUCUUAGACUUUCCAGCCUCCAGAACUGUGAGAAAUAAAUUUUUUGUUUGUUUGUUUUUUUGUUUUGUU
rnacentral:lncRNA from 1 species